rnacentral:tRNA from 1 species
CGGGGUGUGGCGCAGUCUGGUAGCGCACGUGGUUUGGGACCACGGUGUCGGGGGUUCAAAUCCCUCUACCCCGA